CUUGACCAAAUUAAAAGGUAAGACUAAUUUGAAAAGAAAAAUAAAAUUUAGAAGUUAAAUUAGCCAAAAUUACGUCCAGUUCCCACAACACCAUCAACAACCGGCAGUAACCAUCUCCGUCACACAAAUCCAGCCGAGCCCCAACCAAUGCCCAUUUUUAGAGCAACAGCCUUUCCACCCAUCGGACCCAUCACUAUACUCAAACUCUCGAUUUUUCCCGCACCACCAGUGGAUCUUUUCUUCCCAGAAGAUCCAUAACCCGUCCUUGCUCCGACCACCCACACCAGGUUCAACCCAAACCUCAUCUUUGACCUUCCUUUCAUAAACACACCAAAUUAGAUACACAGACCACCCAGUAACCUCCAAACCGAAGCCACCUUCCCAAACACCAGCUGUUUUCUUUGUCACAGCCACCCCUCCCUAAUCCAAUCAACCGCACUUGGUUUGCUAGCCCGGUUCAAGCACAACCUUUCAACACACCAUGGACACCAAAUCGGUUAGAUCCAAGCACCCAAGAAAUAUAUCUUAUCCAUACUGCCCAAACCAUUGAAACACCACUAACACCACAAAGUUCAUCUCCAAGCCCAGCCUUCUCUCAUACAAACUUGAAGACGAUAGCCAUGACCCCCAACCCCUAUCUCCAGCCAAAACCCAGAUUGAAACACACUAACACCACCAAAUCCAUCUCCAAGGCCACCCUUCUCUCAUAUAAACUUGAAGACGAUAGCCAUUAUUCCCAACACCUGUCUUCAGACAAAACCCAGACAUCCUUCUCCUCCUCUGGCGAAAGCCCCACUAGACCCAUAUUCCCUCCUUCCACGCCAGUAUCCGUGACCCAUCUCCUCUUCAUUUCCUAAAUCAUCCAUGGCUAGCGACCUCCCUCUCAUCAAUGUCAACCCAGCGACACUACGCCACCGACGACGGCAACAGCUUCCCAGUAGCAGCUUCUCCACAUCUCACCCGAAGCCCCAUUCAAACGGCGGCGCCUCCCAUGUCUCCCUCUCACAACAGUUCCCCAAAACAAGAAGCCCUAAACUACCACAAAGAAAAAUCCCGGAGCAAUUUCUUCACAAUCGUUUUUUUAUAAAGCGAUUAGAAA
rnacentral:lncRNA from 1 species